rnacentral:rRNA from 1 species
CUGCCAGUAGUCAUAUGCUUGUCUCAAAGAUUAAGCCAUGCAUGUCUAAGUCCAAGCUGUGUUCACACGGCGAGACCGCGGACGGCUCAUUAAAUCAGUCGUGGUCCAAAUGGGCCAGUGCAAAUCCUACUUGGAUAACUGUGGUAAUUCCAGAGCUAAUACAUGCAACUGAUAUCCCGAAGGCGGUGUUGGGGCUUGCUUGCCUUGCGCUGCGCUGCUCUGACGGAUGCUUUUAUUAGACCAAGCCGCUGAGGACUUGAGGGUUCGCGCUCUCUUGUUUGACUCGUGUGAUGGUGACUCUGGAUAACCAAAUUCUGACAAGCGCACGUACUUCUCUUCUGAGCGAGACGGCGCUGCCACUUUCGAGUGUCUGCCUUAUCAGCUAUCAACCGUUCGUUAUGCGCGACCGAUGGCUUUGACGGGUAACGGGGAAUCAGGGUUCGAUUCCGGAGAGGCAGCCUGAGAGACGGCUACCACGUCCAAGGACGGCAGCAGGCACGCAAAUUACCCAAUCCCAGCAAAUGGGGGAGGUAGUGACGAAAUCUAACGAUGCGGGCGCCCUUUCUGGGGCCCCGCAAUCGGAAUGGGCACUUUCUAAACAACCUGUUGAGAACCUACUG